rnacentral:rRNA from 1 species
UACGGGGGGGCAAGGCGUUGUUCGGAAUUACUGGGCGUAAAGGGCUCGUAGGCGGCCAACUAAGUCAGACGUGAAAUCCCUCGGCUUAACCGGGGAACUGCGUCUGAUACUGGAUGGCUUGAGUUUGGGAGAGGGAUGCGGAAUUCCAGGUGUAGCGGUGAAAUGCGUAGAUAUCUGGAGGAACACCGGUGGCGAAGGCGGCAUCCUGGACCAACACUGACGCUGAGUGAGCGAAAGCCAGGGGAGCAAACGGG